GAGGAUCUCAAUUUUAAAUCACCCUGCAAAGAGAAUGGUGUAUUGUUGUUGUAACACUAGUUACUGCUAUGGGAGACCUAAUCCAUCUUAAUGGAAAGAAAUUCAGACAUACAAAGGCAACAUGGAGCAAGAAUAUUUUUCUAGAAUUCCAAAUAUUUUUAUGGAUUUUAUCAUCUUCCCUGCUUACAUUAUCAGCAAUCUCUGAUAAGAGAUGGAGAGCUGAUUGUAUAAGUUUACUUAUCCUACUUAUAAAUUGCGUUUGAAGCAAUGAUAUAAAGGUUGGGAAACACAAUGUAUCUAAACCCACUCCUCUUUUCGCCUUCUGGAAUGGUAGUUGAACUAGGGAAAACAGCACGGUGAUUUAUUGGAAUUGCCUGUAAAUGCUAUACUACAGUGGUCAGGUGCCAAAUAGCACAAAACAAUGUUCUCUCAGUCCUGAACCUUACCCUUUGGUUGGAUGUGUGGAAAAUAGGGGUUUACAAUUCUAGUUUCGGUUCGAGGUCUGCCUAGGAAUCGGCACCUUCGUUGUUUCGGUUUCGGUUUGGCUUUGUAUGGUUCCAGUUCGGUUUUUAAUUCUUGAAACAAUUUAUCUCCAUAAAAAAGUUAUACUUUAAUUAUCAUUUAAGUUUUGAAGUAGGUUAUUAAUACAUAAUAUAUUAUAUAAUAUAUCUUUUAACUAUACCUAAAUUAUAUAAUCUUU
rnacentral:misc_RNA from 1 species